rnacentral:rRNA from 1 species
CCAUUAGAAAUGAUGGGUAAUACUGUAUAAUCCCUGCGGGGGAAAGAUUUAUCGCUAUUAGAUGAGCCUACGUUAGAUUAGCUAGUUGGUAAGGUAAUGGCUUACCAAGGCUAUGAUCUAUAGCUGGUCUGAGAGGACGAUCAGCCACACUGGAACUGAGAUACGGUCCAGACUCCUACGGGAGGCAGCAGUGGGGAAUAUUGGACAAUGGGCGAAAGCCUGAUCCAGCUAUGCCGCGUGAGUGAAGAAGGCCUUCGGGUUGUAAAGCUCUUUCAAUAGGGAAGAUAAUGACGGUACCUAUAA